rnacentral:rRNA from 1 species
UACGGAGGGUGCAAGCGUUAUCCGGAUUCACUGGGCUUAAAGGGUGCGUAGGUGGGCAGGUAAGUCAGUGGUGAAAUCCCCGAGCUUAACUUGGGAACUGCCAUUGAUACUAUUUGUCUUGAAUACUGUGGAGGUUAGCGGAAUAUGUCAUGUAGCGGUGAAAUGCUUAGAUAUGACAUAGAACACCAAUUGCGAAGGCAGCUGGCUACACAAAUAUUGACACUGAUGCACGAAAGCGUGGGGAUCAAACAGG